CGAACUUGGAGAUAGCUGGUUCUCUCCGAAAUAGCUUUAGGGCUAGCGUCGACAUUUGAGAAUCUUGGAGGUAGAGCACUGUUUGGAUGAGGGGGCCAUCUCGGUUUACUGAUUUCAGAUAAACUCCGAAUGCCAAUGAUUUAUGGUCGGCAGUCAGACUGCGAGUGCUAAGAUCCGUAGUCGAAAGGGAAACAGCCCAGACCACCAGCUAAGGUCCCAAAAUAAUUGUUAAGUGGAAAAGGAUGUGGGGUUGCACAGACAACUAGGAUGUUAGCUUAGAAGCAGCUAUUCAUUCAAAGAGUGCGUAAUAGCUCACUAGUCGAGUGACCCUGCGCCGAAAAUGUACCGGGGCUAAAACAAUUUACCGAAGCUGUG
rnacentral:rRNA from 1 species